GAGGGCUUUUCAUCUCACUGCUUGUGGAGAUGCUGAGAUGAACACUUUUUGGUUCACUUUUAUCACUCCAUCUCCUGUCUCCUGCUCUGAGUAAGCAAUCUACGUUUUUGUGCAGCCUCUGGCCACAGGCUGGCUCAUGGAGGUGUGUCUGCUGGCAGAGGCUCCCAGGAGCUCAGUGCUCCUCAGGUGAGGUGAUGUGUGGUCCCGCGGGUUGUUAGGGAAGUUCAGCGAUCUGAACUUAGAUUCGCAGAGCAAAAUAUUUUACCUCCUCGUAGUUUGCCUUUCCAUAUCUUGCCCCUCACGGCAAAUUUGGCAAGCACACUACAAAGUGGCUUUAAAAAGCUGUCUCUGAAAAGCAAUGAGAAGCUGCAAAGCUCUUAAAAAGUCUCUGAAUUUGGGAUAUGUAAUCCAAAUUCAGUAGCUAUAAACUAAGCAGCCAUGACUAUCCCCAAACAUUUCGUCUAGUCCGUCCCACUCAAAGUAGGUCCACGCACAACAGCAACAUGGGAGCUUUUCAGAAAUGGAGCUGCUCAGCCCCUCCCUUCAUUUAUCCAAUUAGAACCUGUGCUUCACCACUCCCCAGGUGAUUUCCAUGCACGUUCAAAUUUGAAAAGCGUUGGCCCAGGUAGCAUUCUUAAUGACUUUGUGGCAUCCUUAAUGACUUGGAAGAAAUAUUUCACAAAAUAUUCGUCAUGGCCGCUUGUAUUUGAAUCUUGCCUCCAUCCACCAAAAGACAAUGUCAUACUUGGUUAAGCUCUCAAGGGAGGAUCAUGGAGACAGCAGGAAGGAGCCAACAAACACUCAGCUGGUCUUGAGGGCAGUGGCCAGCAGAAGUCCAGGACUGUGUAGAAUAUCAGUGGGCUUUGGGGCGCCUGGGUGGCUCAGUCGGUUAAGCCUCCAACUUCAGCUCAGGUCAUGAUCUCACAGUUCAUGAGUUCAAUUCCCUCCUCAGGCUCUCUGCUGUCAACACUGCUUCAGAUCCUCUGUCCCCCUCACACUCUGCCCUCUCCCACUUGUGCUGUCUCUCUCAAAAAUAAACAUUAAAAAAUAUUUUUAAAAAAAGAAUAUCAGCUUUGAAGAAGGUCCAGAAUAUUGACACUGACCCAGGAGUCCUGGCAGGGACUCAGAAGAGUAUGCAAGGCUUGAUAUCAUGUGUCUAAAAUGUUCCACUAACCUCUGGGGUCUCUGCCAAACUUAGGCCUCACAGAAAAGCAGCAUUAAGGUGUAAAGGUUCUGUUAUGGGCUGUUUGUGUCCCUCCUAAAUUCAUAUAUUGAAGCCCUAACUUCCGGUAGCAUAGUGUUAGGAGGCGGGGCCUUUAGGUAAUAAUUAGGUAUAGAUGAUGUCAUGAGGGUAGAAUCUCUAUGAUGAAACCAGUGUCUUUAGAAGGAGAGGAUGAGACUAGGGCCUUCCUCUGUCUCUCUGCCAUGGGAGGAUACAGGAAGAAUGCAGCUAUCUGCAAGACAGGGAGAGGGUUCUCAUCAGAACCAGACCAUGCUGGCAUCCUGAUCUCACACUUGUAGCCUCUAAAACCGUGAGAAAGAAAUUGCUGUGUAAGUCACACAGUCUGCAGUAUUUUGUUACAACCACCUGAACUAAGAAAGGUACAAAGGUAAACUCUAGAGAAUCAGGAAUAUAUUCUGAUCAGCUCCAAAAUGAGAAGAACACAGUAAGAAUUAUUAAUAGAAGUGCUAAUAACUUGGUUGCUGUAAAGGGGACUAUCAACUUUAAAAGGAACAUAAGUAAUUUUAUUUAGCCCUGUUCUUGCAAAAGAAAGAUAGUACAUAACCUCUGAUACCAUCUUAAACCCUCAAUUUAUGCAGAACAUAAACACCUUACUGAACUCUUCAUGUUUUAUCUCAUUCUUUUGUUUUAUUAUGUACAUAUAGAAUAUUCAGCUGGCACACUGGUACCAUACCAGUUAUUAAAAUAGGGAAAUACUUCCAUACUGGUUGGUAAAUAGUGGGUGUCCUGAGACCUCCAGGAGCCCCCUCUCCCAACUCCUGACAUAACCACCCUCAGCACCCUCAUGCAAUAACUUGAGGGUCGAUAUUUGGCAUGGCAGAGACCUUCAGUUCUCCAUCCAUCCAUUCCAGUGCAGUCUGAUCUGAAAGGUAAGUGACCAUGGACUCCCAGGUAUGAAAUUCAGUUCUACACCAAUGAACAUGAAUAUAAAAUGAGAGCACUUGACCAUAAUAGUAGACUCAUAGCCAUGUAAUUUUUAAUAUUGGAUUAAAAACUUUUAAAAUUAUCUGUGCUACCCCUGAAAGCUAAUUAUUAGUAGGAAUUGAAAAUGUGCCUUGACACUCAAGGAUAAAGCAAUGGCUGAUGAGUCAAAAGAGGUAGGGGAGUCUCUACCAACAACAGCUUUGCCCACCUUAGACCUUGGGACAGUGGUCCUGAAGUUUACAAAUCUCCUGCCCCAGAGAUUCUUAGUCAAUAGGUCUGGGCUGGAGCCCAAGACCAUUUUUCAUAAGCUUUGGAUGUCGUUCUAUUGUAAGUGCUCCAGGGUUCAUACUUUCAGAAAUGUAUGAAAUUCUUACUUGUUAUGCAAGCCCCUACCUUAAGAAGUUUCCCUUUGUGAAUUCUUCCUUGAAACACUCUGGUCCCACAUCCUUCUACCAAAAGAAGAGUCUAUCUUUCUUUCACCUUUAUUAACCAUGCAUCCGUCAGGUAUUUAUCAUACUGUGUUGGCAUUAUUUGUUUGCAAGCCUGACUCUGCCUGGAUAUCUUGGUAUCUCUGGCAUCUGACUCAGCAUAUGGCAAACACUAAUUGAUACACUGGUUGAUUAGAAAGUAGGGGUAGGGGCUGAUGCUGGGCAAUAUUUACUGAGCAUCUCAACCAAUUAUAUAAAAUGUUUCCUUAAGGGGUGCUAUAGCACACCCUUUAUGAUAUCUUCCUCAGUAUCAGACUUUGUUGUCUCACCCUCAGGCUCCUGUGGCACCUAGAAGUUCCCACUUUUAUGUAGAGAAAUUUGUUGGCCUGAACCUCUAGGAGAAAGCCUAGAGUCUUCUUAGACCUUUGAGUAAAGUUUUAAAGGUUUGUUUUACCAGUAACAUCUGAGACUCCACCCUCAGUGUAGGUUAUUGAGGUAAUUUACCAUUUGAUUACCUUCUCAAUAAAUAUCUUAUAGCUAAUAAAAAUCAGAACAUGUACUAUAAACAUUCAUUUCUUAAAGCAUAUAUUUAAGAUCCAUUAUUCAUAAAACUACAACUAUAACUUUUUAAAUAUGCUUUAACACAUUAGCACACAGAGACACUUGAAUACUUUUUUUAAAAAAAGAUUUUAUUAUUUUUAAGUAAUCUCUACAAGCAACGUGGGGCUCGAACUUAACAACCCUGAGAUCAAGAAUGGUACGCUGUACUGACUGAGCCAGCCAAGUGCCCCCAGGAGACACUUAAUGAAUACUUUUGAUGCUAGAAAUGAAAAAAGGUUAGAUAUUGUUAUUGCCACAUUUUACUUCAUUAUGAUUACGGAACUUAAUUUUGCCACAAGACAAGAGUAAGCAGUAGCUAUUUCCUUUGACAUGUCUGAUUGAACUUCUUUGUAUAUCACCUAACUCAACAUUAAAAUAGGUGUUAAAUAAAUGCCUUUGCAUUUUACAACUGAAGCCUUCACAAUAUUUCUAAUGGUGAUUAAGUAGCGGGUCUAAUUAUACAUCACAUCCAUUACUCUAAUGUUCCUUUAGCUCUAAAGCUCUAUGAUGCCACAGAAUCAAGAACAAAGCUUGGCACAGUUAAAGAGCACACUCUGAAGCUUCACAUGCUGGCAAGAGACUGCUUCUCAGGUGCUUUUCCAAGUAGCUUCACUCUCAGCAUCUAUUUUCUGUUGUGAUGAUGAUUUAGUAAUAGCCAGUGUCUUUAUGGCAGAUCAUGGAAAAAAAAAGUAAUGUGUGUUUGUUUGGUUUGCGCUGUUUAUUUAGGUCUCCAAUUCUCCAAUUCUCUCCCAAAGCAGGUGACGGCUUUGCUUCAACCACAGUAGUCAUGGUCAACAUGGAAGGAGUUCUCUUGGGGAUUUUAUCAACAAACUUUCCAAUUUGCCUUACUAACAAGGAGAAGGCAGUGUGAUGGGAGUAGUGCCCCAGUUCUACUGUGUCUUCUUAAGCACUGCUCCGAGGCUGAUAUCAAGUUCCCUGGAGGCUCCACUUUAAUACAAUAUGUGGAUGACUUCUCUGCUUCUCUUUCCAAGCCUCCUCACAAGAAGAUAGCAUCUAUGUGCUAAAACUCCUAGCCAAAAAGGGAUACACCAUCUCUAAGGAGACAUUACAAUUUGUUCAAACUCAAGUUCAAUAUUUAGGACAUCUAAUCUCAGAACAAGGACUUCAUUUGGAUCCAGACAAUUUUCAUGGCAUCCUGAACUUCCCAAAGCCUCAAACCAAAUGUCAACUGUGAGGUUUUCUUGAAUUGACAGAUUAUUAUUGCAACUGUAUCCCAAACUUCUCCUUAUGGCCCAACCUUUAUACACCUGACCCUAUCAUCUAGGAAGAUCCAGAUGACAUAACUUUCCAAUGUCAAAAGAAAGUUUAAUAAAGCCCCUUGCUCUUGAACACCCAAAUUAUCAGCUCCCUUUCUUCCUUUUUGCAUACAAAAAAGAAAGGAAUGCCUGAAGCCUGGGCAUAUGCCUUCCCCAUGCCUCCCAGCUUCACCUGCUACUUACUGUCUUUUUUUGUGAAGGCCACUGAGAAAACAGUCUUUGCAUCCCCUUUAACCACUUCUGUGCUGUGAAAGCUCUCCUUACCUUUCGUCACACUCAGUUUCUUUCUAUAGGCUAUCUCACCUCCUGUGAAAUUCUGUGUACCGCCCCUUAUGUUACUUUUGCUUGUUGUAAUAACCUUAACCCUGACACUCUUCUCACCUCCUCUACCAAUUAAACCACCCAUAACUGCUUAAUACUGACAGAUCACCUUCUUGCCCAUAUGAUGACUUACAGGAAACUUCUUUGGAUAACGGUUGACUUUUCAUUGUUCACUGAUGGUUCGUAGUUAAAAGAUGAAAAUGGCAAAUACUGUGUUGGGUAUGCAACAUCAACUCCUUCUGAAGUAACUGAAGCAGCACCCUUGCCUUUGGCUACUUCAGCCUAACAAGGAACUACAAUCACACACAUGGGUCUAUGUUCCAGCCAAAGGCAAAACUGCCAGCAUUUACACCAACAGUAUAUAUGCCUUUGGAGUGGCUCCCAAUUUUGGAAUGUUAUGGAAACAAUGUGGCUUCUUUACUUCCAGUGAAGAUAAAAAUUAAAAGCAGCCCUUACAUUCAGGAAUUACUGGAUGUCAUACUCUUACCUGCUGCUUCGGCUAUUAUUAAAAUCCUGGAGCAUUAUAAACUUGACUUUCUGGAAGCUAAAGGAAAACAUCUCACUGACAUUUCCAUUUAAAAAUGCUAUCCUCAAAGGGUCUAGAAGUCAAAUCUCUGUCAUGGUGCAAAGGAACUCACGUCCAGAGGAUAAUCUGGAGAAACUGACUAGAGACACCCAACAGUAAAACAAGAUUGGCAAUCAAAUGGUUGUUAGUAUGAUAAGAAGAGAAACUUCUGGUUUGGACCAAGUACAAACCUGGCCCUACCAGAAAUUCUAAAGUUCCCACUAUUGACCAACAUGCAUUGAACCACUGGUAUAAAGAUAAAAUGAUGUUCAUAAGUUAAUAGUUGUAGGGAAAUACCAACAAGACUACAAAAAGUACCUACUUUGCUUUCCCCACCUGCCAAAAAUACAAUCCAGGGAAACCUGUCGACACUAUUCCUAGGCACUUUAAAUUGCCUAAUGGCUCAUUUGAAUUUUGGCAAAUGGAUUUUAUUCAGCUACCCCUACCUCAUGGAUACAAAUAUGUCUUGGUAAUGAUUUGUAUGUCUUCCCACUGGCCAAAGCCCUUCCAUGUAGACUAGCUACUAUUUUUCUUCAGUAGCUAAAAUCUUAUUAGAAUACAACCAUCCCUACGUGGGGAAUGCCUCUUGAGCUCCAUAGCAACUGAAGAACCCAUUCUAUUGGUCAAAUACUAUGGCAAGUCUGUGCCGUUUGGCCAGUUCUAUAGCAUUUUCACUGUGUUUACCAUCCUCAGUCUUCAAGGCUAGUCAAAGGAACCAAAAUAAAUUAAAAAUUUUAUGGAAACCCUCCAAAUACCUUGGCCAAAAGUAUUGCCAUUGGGCCUUCUAAAUCUCAGAUCCACUCCCUUUAACUCAUAAACUCUCACCCUUUGAGACAAAUACUGGGUUCCUGAUGCAUCUAGCUUCUCCCUUUUCUGAUCUGCACGCAAUAAAGGAGACAUAUGUUACUGUUGCAAAGCUCUAAUUACAUCCCUUAAAAAUAAUCAUACUCUAGUAGGGCAAUCUUUUCACAGCGCACUCCCAGGAGACAAAGACAUCAAACACCACACUCUGCAACCUAGGAAUUUUGCUUGUAGGAAGAGACAUCUCAAAAAACCUCUUUUCAAGCACACUGGAAAGGCCCUUACCAAGUGUUACUAACCAAUCCUCAUGCCACCAAACUGCAAGGAGUUGACUCUUGGAUCAAUGUUCUUCAUCUAAAGAAAGCCCCUGACUAGAACUACACACCAACUGGUGACCUCAAAUUAAAGAUUUCCAGGAACUUAAGCAGACAGCUUUCCCAAGAUGACAGGAUCAGGCCUGUUCUCCUUUCUGCUUUUUCUCACCUUGUUUUCUCUUUCUCUGUCCUGGAAAGACAUUUCCCUUGCUUUCAUUUCCCAAUCCAUCGCAGAAGGAGGAAACUUUUCUGAUUGUUCGGAAAACCCUGAUCUGGCCAUGACAGACGUGAUCCUUUAGUCUUCCCCAUAGCAAACUUUUCCUUCAUUCCCAAUGUGACCUCUAAUAAUACCUGCACCCCUCCAGGUGUUUCUCACUGAGUCAAACCUCAACAACCACGUUCUCCUAUGCCUUGCUUUGACCUCUCCCCAUUAUAACUCCCAAUGCAACUAACUGUACCUAUUCCACCCAUACAGUUUCCCAUUCUCCCUAAUACCUCAGGUCUGUGUGCAGUAGCAAAAGAACUUCCCUCUGUACAGCCAUCAAGAAUAAAGUCCACAUAACAGAACGGUUUCUCCUUAAUUAUUCCCCAAACACCACUGACCCUUGACUUGGAAGAACCAAUCAAGUAAUUCCAAGUAAUGGCACUAUUAGUAAUCAGCCCCCAAUAGGAAUUUUAUGUGCACCACCUGGUUUAAUCGUUGCGUGUGGUGAAUUGGCCUCUAAAUGGGCCUGUGAAUGUACUGGAAGAUUUGAUUCCUGUGGCCAUCCACAAUAAAUUGGAAGCCUCCCAUGGUCCUCCAUUGGUCUUUUCCAUUAAGCUUUUAUCACCACCUCAAAUGGGAAUUCAUAGGACAUAUACAUGACUCUGUAUUUGCCUCCUUUGGAAGGGCACUUAUCCCUUCUGUGCAUGUUCACGCCAAUGAACAAAUAAUUAGAAAUCUCUUUCUGGAAUUGGGAAAACUUACUUAUUCUACCACUAUGGCAAUAACGGGCCAACAAUGAUCACUUAGCUCAUAAGUCAAAGUAGUUUUAAACAAUUGCAUAGCACUUGAUUACCUACUUGCUGAACAGGGAGGCAUUUGUGUGAUAACAAACAUGGCCUGUUGCACAUGGAUAAAUUCCUUCAAUUACAUAAUAUUAGAGGAACAAGCACAUUGGCCACAAAAAAUUCCACCUGAUGAUCUAUGGUGCUUUGAUCUCUUUAGCUGGCUUGGGCUUCUGGUUUAGGACUAUAAUACAAGCUGGGGUCACUAUUCUGCUCCUCAUCUUAUUUUGUGUAAACAUUGUUAAAGCUUUGUACCUGUUGCCUGUUGAACCUUUGUAGUAACAAAGUACCCAAUACGGUGAUGCUGACUCAGUGCUUCCAGAUGAUCCCCAACACUUACAACUUUGAUAAGAUGUAGACCUUGGAUGGGAAAUGCCAGAAAGCUCUCCCUCCCCACCCUUGCUUAUUUUCAAAAUAUGGCCUCAGUGUCUUCCAGUCUAUGUACUUUCCUUCCAGCAUGGGAUGUGACAUCUGGAAAAGGUCCUUCCUGGCACCAAGGGACAAAAACGAUUCCAAUAAGGAAUAGAUGAUCCAGAGAAAGAUCUUUAUCAAAAGGGGGAAAUAUGAAAAUGUGUUAAGGAAAACCUAACUCAAAAUUGGAGCCAGGAAGCCUGUAAGGGGGUAGUUCUCAUGCUCAUGGCACUUUUCACAGCUUGCAAAAUCCAGCAAGAUGAAGACUUCCUCUCCACUAGCAAUAGCAAGCUGCCCUCACCUCCAGCCAAUGAAGGGCCACCACUUCAAUUGCCUGCAACCAAUGAAAAGUUGCCACUACUUUAAACUCAUCUUUCUCCAAUGAACUUUUGUUCAAAACAACCCCUUCCUAACUUCCUCCUUUCCUCUAUGAAGAGACACUUUUCUCCUUUGUUCUCUGGACUUGUCUACGGUUUGCCACGGUUUGCUUGUCCUGAAUUGCAAUUCUUCUGCUUUUCCCAAAUAAACUAGAUUUUGCUGGCUGAAUCCUUUACCUUUCCCUUUUAAAAGAUUGACAGCAUGUAGCCCAGUCAGCUCAACUAGAGAUGAGAAAUGAGAUUCUACCCAAUUUCACCUAAUUAUAGGAGAUUUUAAUAACGUUAAAAUGUUUCUGCUAAAAGGAAAAGUUGUUGAUAUUACUGGUGAUUUUUUCCACAACACCUUCAUCCUUAAAAAUGUAGAGGUGGCUCAGUUGGCUAAGCGAGUCUGACUUUGUCUCUGUUCAUGAUCUCGCAAUUCGUGAGUUCAAACCCUGUGUCAGGCUCUGUGCUGGCAGCUGGGAGCCUGGA